UUUAUUUUCAAAUAUUCUCUAAUAAACUUUAAAUCUGUUCUUAUCAGUUGAAUAUCUGAUAUGUCCUUUAUUUGAGGACUGUAUAUUAAACUGAUUUUUGAAACCCUGGGGGCUCUGAGAUUGGGCCUUCUUGCCUCAGCACACCUUGUUUCUUUCUGUGGCUCCCCAGUGAGUCGAAAUGAGUAGAUACUCC